rnacentral:rRNA from 1 species
GACGAACGCUGGCGGCGUGCUUAACACAUGCAAGUCGAACGGAAAGGCCCUGCUUUUGUGGGGUGCUCGAGUGGCGAACGGGUGAGUAACACGUGAGUAACCUGCCCUUGACUUUGGGAUAACUUCAGGAAACUGGGGCUAAUACCGGAUAGGAGCUCCUGCUGCAUGGUGGGGGUUGGAAAGUUUCGGCGGUUGGGGAUGGACUCGCGGCUUAUCAGCUUGUUGGUGGGGGAGUGGCUUACCAAGGCUUUGACGGGUAGCCGGCCUGAGAGGGUGACCGGCCACAUUGGGACUGAGAUACGGCGCAGACUCGUACGGGAGGCAGCAGUGGGGAAUAUUGCACAAUGGGCGGAAGCCUGAUGCAGCAACGCCGCGUGCGUGAUGACGGCCUUCGGGUUGUAAACCGCUUUCGCCUGUGACGAAGCGUGAGUGACGGUAAUGGGUAAAGAAGCACCGGCUAACUACGUG